UACGGGGGGGGCAAGCGUUGUUCGGAAUUACUGGGCGUAAAGGGCGCGUAGGCGGCCUGCUAAGUCGGACGUGAAAUCCCCCGGCUCAACCGGGGAACUGCGUCCGAUACUGGUGGGCUCGAAUCCGGGAGAGGGAUGUGGAAUUCCAGGUGUAGCGGUGAAAUGCGUAGAUAUCUGGAGGAACACCGGUGGCGAAGGCGGCAUCCUGGACCGGUAUUGACGCUGAGGCGCGAAAGCUAGGGGAGCAAACGGG
rnacentral:rRNA from 1 species